AUUGAACGCUGGCGGCAGGCCUAACACAUGCAAGUCGAGCGGAUGACGGGAGCUUGCUCCUUGAUUCAGCGGCGGACGGGUGAGUAAUGCCUAGGAAUCUGCCUGGUAGGGGGGGACAACGUUUCGAAAGGAACGCUAAUACCGCAUACGUCCUACGGGAGAAAGCAGGGGACCUUCGGGCCUUGCGCUAUCAGAUGAGCGUAGGUCGGAUUAGCUAGUGGGCGGGGUAAUGGCUCACCAAGGCGACGACCCGUAACUGGUCUGAGAGGAUGAUCAGUCACACUGGAACUGAGACACGGUCCAGACUCCUACGGGAGGCAGCAGUGGGGAAUAUUGGACAAUGGGCGAAAGCCUGAUCCAGCCAUGCCGCGUGUGUGAAGAAGGUCUUCGGAUUGUAAAGCACUUUAAGUUGGGAGGAAGGGCAGUAAGUUAAUACCUUGCUGUUUUGACGUUACCGACAGAAUAAGCACCGGCUAACUCUGUGCCAGCAGCCGCGGUAA
rnacentral:rRNA from 1 species